rnacentral:rRNA from 1 species
AGGUAGUGACGAAAAAUAACGAUACGGGACUCAUCCGAGGCCCCGUAAUCGGAAUGAGUACACUUUAAAUCCUUUAACGAGGAUCAAUUGGAGGGCAAGUCUGGUGCCAGCAGCCGCGGUAAUUCCAGCUCCAAUAGCGUAUAUUAAAGUUGUUGCGGUUAAAAAGCUCGUAGUUGAAUCUGUGUGCCACGCUGUUGGUUCACCGCUCGCGGUGUAACUGAUUGGCCAGUGGUACGUCCUACCGGUGGACUUAGCUCUCUCCGCUCGCGCGGGCGAGGGCGGUCCAGCUUCAAUCCCAAGGCGAUUCUCUUCACCGAGUGUCGUCGUGGGCCGGUACGUUUACUUUGAACAAAUUAGAGUGCUCAAAGCAGGCUAUUUUCGCCUGAAUACUGUGUGCAUGGAAUAAUGGAAUAGGACCUCGGUUCUAUUUUGUUGGUUUUCGGAACCCCGAGGUAAUGAUUAAUAGGGACAGAUGGGGGCAUUAGUAUUGCGACGUUAGAGGUGAAAUUCUUGGAUCGUCGCAAGACUGACCGAAGCGAAAGCAUUUGCCAAAAAUGUUUUCAUUAAUCAAGAACGAAAGUUAGAGGUUCGAAGGCGAUCAGAUACCGCCCUAGUUCUAACCAUAAACGAUGCCAGCUAGCGAUCCGCCGAAGUUCCUCCGAUGACUCGGCGGGCAGCU